CUGCUAGCUAACCCAACUGAAAUUCACAAAGUAUAUGCAUUAAAACAUUUUUUUCUUUGCAGAUGAAUGCGAAGGAGAACUGACUUGGAGAAGGACUUACAAAUAUGCAGAUGACAUCACUCUUAAUCCAGUCACAGCUCACCCCAACCUCUCAAUUUCUGAGGAUAAGAAGAAAUUUUCUCAUGAAUCCCAACCUCAAAAAGUUCCACCAACUCCAGAGAGGUUUGAUUCGACUGUCUGUGCGUUGGGCGCUGAAGGAUUCUCCUCUGGAAAGCACUACUGGGCGGUGGAUGUCAUGAGCAGCACUGACUGGGACCUGGGAGUGGCCAUAAAAUCCAUACACAGAAAAGGAAAACUUUCCCUGUCCCCUAAAGAGGGAUUCUGGGUUCUGGGUUUCAGUGGGAGAGAUUAUUGGGCAAAAACAGAUCCAUGGACCCGGGUCAUGGUGCAGAAAAAGCCCAAGAAAAUUGGAGUUUACUUUAGUUACCAAGACAGGCAGGUGACCUUUUUCAGUGUAACUGACAUGUCUGUGUUGUUCACAUUUAAUGAUUGUUCAUUAUCAGGAGAGGUUUAUCCAUUCUUUAAGAAUUCCCACAAAGAAACAUCAAUGAGAAUUUGUUCUAUAAGAGAAGAUGAAUGAGCUUAACGUGGCACUGCCACUCACUUAUCGCACCGUAUCUAUGAAAUCAAAUUUCCCAUCAAUGAAUUUGAAUUACACUUUGUCUCUAUAUUAUCCAUAGUGUCAUCUCUAAAACAGCACCAUUAUUCAAUUUAUGGCUAUGAACCUAUAACAUCAAAUUUCGCUCAAAAAACUUUGAACUGUAGUUUUUACUCUGUAUUUUCUGAGCUUCCAUCUUAAUUACUUGCUUUCAACCACAAAUGAUCUCAUUUGUCACUUCUGAAAAAUAUUAUUAUUUGACUAGGCUGUUAAGGAAAAGAUAUUAUGUUGCAGAUCUUCAAAUGAAAUCAGCACCAAAAUUAGGUUUUCAAGAUUUCAAUAUUUUCAAGAACUCAGCUGCCCUUUACCCAGCAUGAAGAGCUUCUUAGAAAACCUGAGAAUAACUGUCACAGUGGGAGCUGCUGGGUGGAUAUUACUGGGAAAAAAAACCCAACCUAUCUCACACAGUCACCUUUAUCUCAGAGACACACCAUCACCAAACUUAUAACAUAACAAAUUAACGGCUUGUCACUGGCCUGUGUAGCUACAAAGUGAGAUAAGGAAAUAUAAAAUACACAGCUACACAAGAUUUACUGUCAUAGUUACAAGGCAGAUGAACCACUGACCUCUUUCUAGUCCCUCUGAGAGCUCCCACCCUGAGGUCUCUUCACCUUACCUGUCUCAGCGUGGAAUCUCAUGAGUUUUCAACUAUUACAUGGGGGGGGGGGUCUGACCAUAGUAACCUGGUCAUACCAUCCACCCAUCAGCCCCAUCUCAGAUUGGGCACCUGUUUAAUCCUCCUUUCAGGAAACUGACCAAUAAU